rnacentral:lncRNA from 1 species
AUUAUUAUAGUAACAAACAAAAAUGAUUAAAUAUUUACCAAAGAUAAACAUUAAACAUGACGUAAACGAGCAAAAGAUUAAAUUAUUUAAAACUAAUAACAUGAUCAUUAAUAAUGUGAUAUUUUAUUCAACUCAAAAUCACUCAACAAAGACAUCAACAUAGUGUUUUAACAAAAAAAAGUAGUAGAGUGCAAAAAUAACCUUUAGCAAGAAGGGUCUGAAAUCGAUUUGCUCAAAACCAAAAGCUGACCAAGACCGUAACUCCAGAAUCUCGACUCUGUGAGAACUUGGUGUUUUUUUACAGUUAACAGAGUAAUAGAGCCGGUGCAGAAGGGUGACGGAGGUUGAAUCUCGCCGGACUCCGGUCUCUAGAUGCCGGCCACUUUCCGUUACUGAUUGUAACUGAGAUAAGGGUGGGUUAGGGACUAUGGCAACUAAGUAAGAAUUCCUGGAUUCACAUUCUUUUUGGCAAAGUUUCCAGAUUUGAUUAAAAGCAAAAAAAAGGAAAUAAAGUUUGACUAUACUAUUAACUUGUUAAAAACAAAAUCUACUCAAACACUCAUCUCCAUCUCGUUUCUAAACCCAUCUCCUAAUCUUCUCUGUUGCGUUUUCUUCGCCGUUUUCCAUCCCCUAAUUCUUUCGUCCCUUUUCUAUGAGUUUGUGCAUUCCCUUUUUGAUUUUGUUUGUUUUGUGUGUGCAGGUUUUUGGCUGAAGACCUCUAGGGGGGUGCACUUCAGUCGAAGAGUAAAUUCCAAGGGUGAAAAAUGAUCGUCUCCCCAAGUAUCAAUAUUUGCUUUUUUUCUUUUGGUAUUGGACCUCCGCCGUUCUACCUUAGAGUCUAGGUCUUAGGUCUUUCUUUUUAUUUGGUUAAGAAGAGUCUAGAAGGUCUUCUAGAUUAGCUUAAUGGGUAUUGGAUAUUGAGCUUGAGAUUAUGGGAUAAAAAAUUAGUUUAAUUUGGCUACAAGCAAAAUUAAAUUAGUCCAAAAACUUAAUUUUAUUCCCUCCUCCUUUUUUGUAUGUAAAAAUAAUAUAGCAAACAAGAUAACUAUUAAAAAUACUACUAAAUCUUACUUAUUUUUAAAACAAACCUAUUUUUGGUAUUUUUUCAAGAUUAAAAAUGACUACAAAACCUUAAUGAAACUAUUUUUUAUAAUUUUCGUUUUUUGUGAGAAAAUAAAGUAAAAUGGUCAAAACCAAUUAAAAUAGUGAUAUUAGGCCUAAACUAAAUAUUUUAUGCGAAAAUAUAAAAAAUCUUGGGGAGGAUCAAAAAUCACAUGUGUAGCUAAGCCCUGUCCUGAAUCUUGCAUGAGGCUAAGCUUACAAUUUGCUAUGUUUGAGUGAUAAAAUCGUGUGUUUAAUGUUAUUUACUUCUAUUUUACAGGUUGUAUAUGAUUUAGAGGUAAUGGUGAAGAAACCAAGUAAAAACAAGUCAAAAAGGAGCUAAAAUGGACAAUGAGAAA